rnacentral:rRNA from 1 species
GGGUUGUGAGGUUAAGCGAAUAAGCGUACACGGUGGAUGCCUAGGCAAUCAGAGGCGAUGAAGGACGUGCUAAUCUGCGAAAAGCGUCGGUAAGGUGAUAUGAACCGCUAUACCCGACGAUAUCCGAAUGGGGAAACCCAGUAUCCAAUGGAUACUAUCAUUAACUGAAUCCAUAGGUUAAUGAGGCGAACCGGGAGAACUGAAACAUCUCAGUACCCCGAGGAAAAGAAAUCAACCGAGAUUCCCCUAGUAGCGGCGAGCGAACGGGGAGCAGCCCAGAGUCUUAAUCAAUAGCAGUGUCAGGAGAACGGUCUGGAAAGUCCGGCAGUAAAGGGUGAUAGCCCCGUAUCUGAAGAUGCUGUUAUUGUGAACUCGACGAGUAGGGCGGGACACGUGUUAUCCUGUCUGAAUAUGGGGGGACCAUCCUCCAAGGCUAAAUACUCCUGAUUGACCGAUAGUGAACCAGUACCGUGAGGGAAAGGCGAAAAGAACCCCGGCGAGGGGAGUGAAAAAGAACCUGAAACCGUGUACGUACAAGCAGUAGGAGCCUCUUUAUGGGGUGACUGCGUACCUUUUGUAUAAUGGGUCAGCGACUUAUAUUCUGUAGCAAGGUUAACCGUAUAGGGGAGCCGUAGGGAAACCGAGUCUUAACUGGGCGAAUGAGUUGCAGGGUAUAGACCCGAAACCCGGUGAUCUAUCCAUGGGCAGGUUGAAGGUUGGGUAACACUAACUGGAGGACCGAACCGACUAAUGUUGAAAAAUUAGCGGAUGACUUGUGGAUGGGGUGAAAGGCCAAUCAAACCGGGAGAUAGCUGGUUCUCCCCGAAAGCUAUUUAGGUAGCGCCUCGUGAACUCAUCUUCGGGGGUAGAGCACUGUUUCGACUAGGGGGUCAUCCCGACUUACCAACUCGAUGCAAACUGCGAAUACCGAAGAAUGUUAUCACGGGAGACACACGGCGGGUGCUAACGUCCGUCGUGAAGAGGGAAACAACCCAGACCGCCAGCUAAGGUCCCAAAGUCAUGGUUAAGUGGGAAACGAAGUGGGAAGGCUCAGACAGCCAGGAUGUUGGCUUAGAAGCAGCCAUCAUUUAAAGAAAGCGUAAUAGCUCACUGGUCGAGUCGGCCCGCGCGGAAGAUGUAACGGGGCUAAACCAUGCACCGAAGCUGCGGCAGCGACACAAAGUGUUGUUGGGUAGGGGAGCGUUCUGUAAGCCUGCGAAGGUGUACUGUGAGGUAUGCUGGAGGUAUCAGAAGUGCGAAUGCUGACAUAAGUAACGAUAAUGCGGGUGAAAACCCGCACGCCGGAAGACCAAGGGUUCCUGUCCAACGUUAAUCGGGGCAGGGUGAGUCGACCCCUAAGGCGAGGCUGAAAAGCGUAGUCGAUGGGAAACGGGUUAAUAUUCCCGUACUGGUGGUAACUGCGAUGGGGGAACGGAGAAGGCUAGGUUGUCCGGGCGACGGUCGUCCCGGUUCAAGCAGGUAGGCAGAGUGAUUAGGCAAAUCCGGUCACUUAAUGCUGAGAUGUGAUGACGAACCACCAAGGUGGUGAAGCAAUUGAUGCCCCGCUUCCAGGAAAAGCCUCUAAGCUUCAGGUUACCAACAAUCGUACCCCAAACCGACACAGGUGGUCAGGUAGAGAAUACUCAGGCGCUUGAGAGAACUCGGGUGAAGGAACUAGGCAAAAUGGUGCCGUAACUUCGGGAGAAGGCACGCUGGCGGUAGGUAAAGUCCCUCGCGGACGGCGCCCAAGCCAGUCGAAGAUACCAGCUGGCUGCAACUGUUUAUUAAAACACAGCACUGUGCAAACACGAAAGUGGACGUAUACGGUGUGACGCCUGCCCGGUGCUGGAAGGUUAAUUGAUGGGGUUAGCGUAAGCGAAGCUCCUGAUCGAAGCCCCAGUAAACGGCGGCCGUAACUAUAACGGUCCUAAGGUAGCGAAAUUCCUUGUCGGGUAAGUUCCGACCUGCACGAAUGGCGUAAUGAUGGCCAGGCUGUCUCCACCCGAGACUCAGUGAAAUUGAACUCGCUGUGAAGAUGCAGUGUACCCGCGGCAAGACGGAAAGACCCCGUGAACCUUUACUAUAGCUUGACACUGAACAUUGAGCCUUGAUGUGUAGGAUAGGUGGGAGGCUUUGAAGUGUGGACGCCAGUCUGCAUGGAGCCAACCUUGAAAUACCACCCUUUAACGUUUGAUGUUCUAACCUAGGCCCAUAAACUGGGUCGGGGACCGUGUCUGGUGGGUAGUUUGACUGGGGCGGUCUCCUCCUAAAGAGUAACGGAGGAGCACGAAGGUUGGCUAAGCAUGGUCGGACAUCAUGCGGUUAGUGCAAAGGCAUAAGCCAGCUUGACUGCGAGAGUGACGGCUCGAGCAGGUACGAAAGUAGGUCUUAGUGAUCCGGUGGUUCUGAAUGGAAGGGCCAUCGCUCAACGGAUAAAAGGUACUCCGGGGAUAACAGGCUGAUACCGCCCAAGAGUUCAUAUCGACGGCGGUGUUUGGCACCUCGAUGUCGGCUCAUCACAUCCUGGGGCUGAAGUAGGUCCCAAGGGUAUGGCUGUUCGCCAUUUAAAGUGGUACGCGAGCUGGGUUUAGAACGUCGUGAGACAGUUCGGUCCCCUAUCUGCCGUGGGCGUUGGAAGAUUGAGAGGGGUUGCUCCUAGUACGAGAGGACCGGAGUGAACGCACCACUGGUGUUCGGGUUGUCAUGCCAAUGGCAUUGCCCGGUAGCUAAGUGCGGAAGAGAUAACCGCUGAAAGCAUCUAAGCGGGAAACUUGCCUCGAGAUGAGUCUUCCCUGUCGCUUUAAGCGACCUAAAGGAACGUUUAAGACUAAGACGUUGAUAGGCUGGGUGUGUAAGCGUAGCGAUACGUUGAGCUAACCAGUACUAAUGAACCGUGAGGCUUAACCUGACAACACCGAAAGUGUUUUG